AACCAUAGAAACCUGCGGAGUACCUGCGGAAGGAUCAUUAUUAGUUAUUCGCUUUAAUUAGCGGGUCUUUCUAAAAAGAUCACACCUUGCUCAAACGUCUCACGUCUUUGGUAGUUCAGUGCUAGUCUGGCCGAAGUGCCCAGUUCAGCGCGUCCUUCUGCCUCUAUUGGGGGCUUUAGGGGGGCUACCGCCGGGUUAAGCCCGGAUUUUAUAACACUUAAGUCUAUAACCCAUGACUGA
rnacentral:misc_RNA from 1 species